UGCCAGCCGCCGCGGUAACACGUAGGGAGCAAGCGUUGUCCGGAAUUAUUGGGCGUAAAGAGCUCGUAGGUGGUUCGGUAAGUCGGAUGUGAAAACUCAAGGCUCAACCUUGAGACGCCAUCCGAUACUGCUGUGACUUGAGUCCGGUAGAGGAGUGUGGAAUUCCUGGUGUAGCGGUGAAAUGCGCAGAUAUCAGGAGGAACACCAACGGCGAAGGCAGCACUCUGGGCCGGUACUGACACUGAGGAGCGAAGGCGUGGGGAGCAAACAGGAUUAGAUA
rnacentral:rRNA from 1 species